CUUGUACGUACAUUUGUGCCCUGUAUGACACUAUGCAAGUUCUUGUAUCGAAAAUUGUAUGAAAUUCGGCACGUGAUUGGUCGAAAUUUUGUUUGUCACCCUGUGUCACGUUAUGGUAGUACUGCAUCUACAGCUACAGCUGAUUUUAAAGAUUUUAUAAAAUUUAUAAACAUUUUAAUGUUAACCAGAAUUUUACGUUGACUGUUUGAGGUUGAUUAUUUGUGUUUUUAUUUUGUUUUGAUAUUUGUGCUAAAAUAUUUGCAUUAGAAUUAUCUUCAGUUUGAUCCAAAUUAGGAACUAUUGUAUUUUCGUCCAUUAAAAAAUUAUGCACCAUGAAACCUAAAUUUAUAGUUUGAACUUUACUAGGAGCUAAAUAUAUGGUUAUUAGUAGAACAGUAGUCCAUACCAUGAUACUAUAAAUAACACUUACUUGAUACUAUAAAUAACUUUAUUUAUAGUAUCAUGGUCCAUACCAAACGGUAUAUUAAGUACCAAUAAAAGAUUUAUAAAUAAUACCUACAAAAACACAAAUAAAUUCAUCAAUACAUUACCUCAUUUUCAUUUCAGCCGCCAUUAUGAGUAAGUAAUUAUGACAUUUUAGAUGUUUUACCAGCAGGUUUUACGUUUUUGCUCUUUGCGCAGAAAUUGGCGCAGUUCUUGUACAAGAAUCUGUGUCUGACUCAAAUUCUUGUAUCGUUUCUGAUAUCGUUUCUUGUAUCUGUGUAUGACACUAUGCAUUUUUUUGACAUAUCAGAAACGAUAUUAGAAAUGAUACAAGAAAAUGUAUA